rnacentral:miRNA from 1 species
CCUUGGGAUUGGGACAUCGACGGGC